GGGGCCUUAGCUCAUGCUUGGUUAGAGCAGCGGACUCAUAAUCCGUUGGUGCGCAGUUCGACUCUGCGAGGCCCUACCA
rnacentral:tRNA from 1 species